GAUGAACGCUGGCGGCGUGCUUAACACAUGCGAGUCGAACGGAAAGGCCCAAGCUUGCUUGGGUCCUCGAGUGGCGAACGGGUGAGUAACACGUGGGUGAUCUGCCCUGCACUUCGGGAUAAGCCUGGGAAACUGGGUCUAAUACCGGAUAGGACCACUUCUUGGAUGUUGUGGUGGAAAGUUUUUUCGGUGUGGGAUGAGCUCGCGGCCUAUCAGCUUGUUGGUGGGGUAAUGGCCUACCAAGGCGUCGACGGGUAGCCGGCCUGAGAGGGUGUACGGCCACAUUGGGACUGAGAUACGGCCCAGACUCCUACGGGAGGCAGCAGUGGGGAAUAUUGCACAAUGGGCGCAAGCCUGAUGCAGCGACGCCGCGUGGGGGAUGACGGCCUUCGGGUUGUAAACUCCUUUCGCUAGGGACGAAGCGUUUUGUGACGGUACCUGGAGAAGAAGCACCGGCUAACUACGUG
rnacentral:rRNA from 1 species